GGGGAUUUAGCUCAGCGGCAUAAGCGCCUGCCUUGCAAGCAGGCAGUCGUGAGUUCAAUCCCUC
rfam:Cavia porcellus supercont2_141 genomic scaffold, whole genome shotgun sequence.